UCCUACGGGAGGCAGCAGUGGGGAAUCUUAGACAAUGGGGGAAACCCUGAUCUAGCCAUGCCGCGUGAGUGACGAAGGCCUUAGGGUCGUAAAGCUCUUUCACUGGGGAAGAUAAUGACUGUACCCAGUAAAGAAACCCCGGCUAACUCCGUGCCAGCAGCCGCGGUAAUACGGAGGGGGUUAGCGUUGUUCGGAAUUACUGGGCGUAAAGCGCGCGUAGGCGGACUGGAAAGUUGGGGGCGAAAUCCCGGGGCUCAACCUCGGAACUGCCUUCAAAACUAUCAGUCUAGAGUUCGAGAGAGGUGAGUGGAAUUCCGAGUGUAGAGGUGAAAUUCGUAGAUAUUCGGAGGAACACCAGUGGCGAAGGCGGCUCACUGGCUCGAUACUGACGCUGAGGUGCGAAAGUGUGGGGAGCAAACAGGAUUAGAUACCCUGGUAGUCCACACCGUAAACGAUGAAUGCCAGACGUCGGGGCGCUUGCGCUUCGGUGUCACACCUAACGGAUUAAGCAUUCCGCCUGGGGAGUACGGUCGCAAGAUUAAAACUCAAAGGAAUUGACGGA
rnacentral:rRNA from 1 species